GGGGCCAAGCCUUGCAAUUCACAUUAAGCUUACGUCUGUCAGGAAUAUAUAAGUUGGACUUUCAGAUCGACUGUGAUCUGUUGAGGUAAGCAUUUAGGUAACAAAAUUUUAUUGCAUCUUUUCUCUGCAUCUGCUUUCAAUUGAAGAACUCAGGAGCCUAAAGAAAUGAGCUUCCUUUGCUUUUUUCUUUCCAUGAGGGUAUUUGAAGAGGAUAUUAAGGAGCACAGGCCUUGAAAACCCUCUCCACUCUUUGUUCCUUGAACUCUGGGAAGGACAGUUCAGAAAAUCAGUGCUGCAUCACCACACUGGGGAAGAUAAAUGUCAACCUCUUCUAUCACAAACCCGAGGGACACAGUGGAAAGAAUUACUGAGAAACUAAGCGUGAACAAAGAAGGUUUGGGACUUAACCUCAUUUAAUCUUCUUAUCAGCCAAUGGAGAGCUCGUAUACCUGUGUAUAACUGAGGAAGUUCUGCUCAGGAGUGGCCACCGAAGACAGGAUAUGCAGUUACUUACAAUGCCACAAGAGGACGGAGAAACAAACACCUAAAUUCGGAGAGCCGUGACUUGGCACGUGUUUUUGUAGCUGAUAAUAAUCAAUAGGUUAAAAGUCAGUUUUUUUUUUCCUCUGAACGCAGGGAAAUUACAAUGUUUAUUUCAAGUACUUAGUAGAGCAACUGCUCCCAUUAGGCAGUCAAGUAAUUCCCAUUGACGGGCUCUAAUCUGAGCUAUCUGUUUCCACUAUCUGUAAAACACUUCCUUCCUCUGUGCUCCCACAGCAGAUCAUAAAAUACUCUUCUUGUCUGGCUAGCCCGCCAAUCUGGGGCUCAUCAAGGGCAGGGCUCAUAUCUUUUGCCUCAGUAUCUCCAAUGUAAAGCACAGUACCUAAUAUGUAGUAGGUGUUCAAAAGAUGUUUGCUAGACGAAUUUAUAAUAAAUCUUUGUUGGCAGCAAAUUAUAUAAACAAUAUGACAUUGUCAUUCAUUUAACAAGCCUAAACACACACUUGUUCAGCGUGGAUGCUAUUCAGUCUGGUAGAUACAUGCAUCUUAAGAUAUAAGCUAGCAGCCUACAGCUUAUAUUAGUAGACCUUAUAUCAAUAUCAAUAUUUUCUGCAGAAUAAAUGGCCAGGAGAGCAAG